rnacentral:rRNA from 1 species
AACACAGGUGGUGCAUGGUUGUCGUCAGCUCGUGUCGUGAGAUGUUGGGUUAAGUCCCGCAACGAGCGCAACCCUUAUCCUUACUAGCCAGCAAGUGARGUUGGGCACUCUAGGGAGACUGCCAGGCAUAACCUGGAGGAAGGUGGGGAUNACGUCAAAUCAUCAUGCCCCUUAUGAUUUGGGCUACACUCGUGCUACAAUGGCGUAAACAAA